AUAAAGGAAUAUAAAAAUUUUAAAAUUAAAAAUUCAAGAAGCACUCGUAGUAGUCUUAAAUUUACUCAAUUUCAACAGCUAGAUAUUACAUGCACUGAAGUUACUUUCAAAUAGGUAGCUUAUGAAGGAAUUUCUUCUUGAGUUUUUAUAGCUAUGAUAAUGAUUUCUUGAAUAUUAAGGGAAAGAAGCUUAGGACACACUAUGAUUAUACUCUUAGACACAUACUCGAAUCCAUUAACACACACACAAAAUACAGAAGAUUUUCUCUUCAUUUAUUUAUGAGACUGCAUAAUUAUUUAAUUUUCUUAAAUAAAUAUGUGCAGAUACUAGCAGUGGUUUUAGCAACAAUAGGAGCUAUUAUGUCUUUAAGAACAUUGGAGAACUCUUUUGACAACAACCAUCAAAGGCUUGGCUCUUUAUGCUACUAUGUGGCUCCAAUUCUUGACCGGCAUCUUCAAGCCCUCUAGAGGGUGCAAAAGGAGGUUGAAAUGGUUCUUGUUACAUUGGAUUCUUGGAACAAUAGUGUCAAUAGUUGGCAUAAGGGCUUAUAAAAAGAAGACAUCAUCAAGCAGAGACUCAAGUCUUUGGACAAAUUGCACCCAAAAAAAAAAAAAAAGUCUUUGGACAAUCUUGUUUACAGCUCUACUAUCUUGUCUAAUUCUAUCUAAUUCAAGACAAAAGGGAGCAUUUUCAAAAGCAAAGAGUUUUUCUUGAUGAACUUGAUAAUCAUCAUAACAAUAACACAAAUGGAAGGAGUGACAUUCAAGUGGUAACAAGAAGUCACCAUGAACAAAAGGUUUAUGGUUCCUACCUUGUCGCAAAAGUAACGCACUUGUGAAUCAGUUUAAAUCGAUUUGAUUAGUAUGAAAAUCAGUUAUAUAAGGACUUGACUUGAUCUUUUUGGAUGUAGUAGUCAAUAUCACAUAUAUUUUUCACACACUUUUUUUUAUGAUGUAUGCUGUUGGAUUUGCUUUGGUUUGUUAUUGUAAAUACAUUUUUUUUCUUCGUAUAUUGCAUUUGAAUAGUAUAUUGUUUAACAUGAUAAAAAAAAAAUGAGAUAAGGUCAUUUUAAAGUGAAAAUGCGAGAUCUAUUUUUUUCUCUUAAAAGGGGUCAAAAUUUGGUAUUUAAUAUUUAUCAAAGAUUCAGCAGUAAGGUAUAUCAACGGAAUAAAAUAAAAACAAAAUUAGUUAAUCAAUUCAAUAGAAAAACAUAUAGUUAAAAAAAAUAACUCAAUAAAAAACAUCAUUUUACACUAGCUUUUCUUUGGGAGGUGACGUCAACAAGCUCUUCUAGCUGAGAGUGGCCCAACAUGAUUUAUUCAAGCUCCGUUUUGGUGUCAAUUAGGUGAAGCAGAGAUGAUUUGAGAAUGAGGGAAUAAUAGGUUAAGUUUGGAUGUAGAUUAAACGAAAAAGUUUGAACUUGGGAAUAAGGGCAUGUAGUAAGACUAUGUAUAGGACUUGUUCUGUAUUCAUUAGUUGAUUUUGAGUGUGGGGACAGUGAAAAGGGACAAGGUGGAGCUCAAAGCAAUUAAAGAGGGAGCAGUUAGCUACGCUUCCUUGGAGAAGAGGCUCAGUUAUAUGAGAAGCUUGUAAGGGGAGAGCUUUCGGAUGAAGAAGGGGAAGAGAAGUACUGUGUGGAUUUCUUCAGGAAAGGAGUAGAACAUGGAGAAGAUUUUAUAAUUAUGGACUGUUUCAUCACCACCUGAAGAUGUGAAAGCAGAUGGUGAACAAGAUGAGGGUUCGUUGUUUGGCACCAGAUUUGCUGGACUUGGACGUGCGGUAGGGACAGCUGAUAUAAUAAAUCAACAUGUGCGUAUGGUCAGGUAAAUACCAUUGUUGUCUCUCCUUUUUCUCUAUAAGCAGCACAAAGAGAAGAAAGCAAAGCAAGACCGCAAUAACAAGGUAAGGGACAAAAAACUUGAUUUUUUCAUGUUUACACUUAGCCAAGCUUUCGGUUGUGGAGAGUUUUCUCAGGAGUCAAAAAUCAUUGCUCUGUUUCCAAGCAACUUGGAGUAAAGAAACAUCAUUCAUUACACCAAUUCUAAGUUUGCUUAAAUAGUUUUACUAGUAUGUUAUUAUGUAAAGAUAAGUAAUUUUUUUCCAGUAUCUGUUAAUAGAGAGGAUUAUGCGUAUAAACAUAUAUCUACCAGUGAUGCUUUCAAAGGGAUAUAUGUACUGUGUUGUUAAAUUAUGUCAAUCAACGAUUCAACACCAAGAUACAGCACUCACAUCGCAAAAUGCAAGUCUAUUAGUAGUUGGUUAAAUAGAUUCAUCACACAAUGUUUUCCAAUGGACAGUUUGGCCGAGUGGUCUAAGGCGCCAGAUUUAGG